AUUGAACGCUGGCGGCAGGCCUAACACAUGCAAGUCGAGCGAGCGGCGGACGGGUGAGUAAUGUCUGGGAAACUGCCUGAUGGAGGGGGAUAACUACUGGAAACGGUAGCUAAUACCGCAUACCAUCAGAUGUGCCCAGAGGGGAUUAGCUAGUAGGUGGGGUAAUGGCUCACCUAGGCGACGAUCCCUAGCUGGUCUGAGAGGAUGACCAGCCACACUGGAACUGGGACACGUUCCAGACUCCAACGGGGGGCAGCGGUGGGGAAUGUUGCACAAGGGGGGCAAGCCUGAGGCAGCCAUGCCGGGUGUGUGAAGAGGGCCUUCGGGUUGUAAAGCACUUUCAGCGGGGAGGCGUUACCCGCAGAGAAAGCCCCGGCAAACUCCGUGCCGGCGGCCGCGGUAAUA
rnacentral:rRNA from 1 species